rnacentral:misc_RNA from 1 species
ACGAGGCUGAAGAACAUCUCACUGCGUCGGUCUCCACUCUGCCAGUGUGCUACUUUCUGUUUCCGAUACUCAAAGGGGAGCGGGAGUGCACUCACUUGCGCCCGCACGUGCCUGCGUGUCUUUCGCACUAUUUUUUUUUCUUUUGGGUAGCUUCCCCGUACACGUUCUUUGUCUCCCCCCUCAUCUCACUUGCGAGGGCAGAGAGCAAGACUUCGCGUCGCUUGGGACUUGCACUGCCCCACCGAAGGCCCAUCAACGCGCAUAUAUCUCUCUUGGAGCUCUCGGGCACGCGAGUACAUCGACACAUUCUUGUCAAACACCAUCAGCAAAGACAAAUUGCCGGACGCUGCUGCCGCUAUUUCUCGCCGUCUUUGGUUCUCGUCCAACCACUCUUCUCUUUUUCGCCUCCUCGCUGUUCUCUGUCAUUUUGUUUUUACCUUUCUUGUGAAUUUGCAGUCCAUCUACCUCUCAGAGACGUGUGUGUGUGUGUGAGCGUGUAUAGACAUACUCCUGCCGGUCUCCCCACUCCCCGUCUUGCCCUCCUCUUUUGAUGUUUCUGUUGUUGUUGGCGUUGUGGUGCCUUACAUCUUGAGCACGCUGCGCAUGGUUCUGUGCGGCUGUUCUUCCUUGCCCCCUCUCCGAUCCCUUCUCAUCCGUUUUUUUUUCUAUUCACCGUAAUCCGCAGCAUUUGGCAUCGCUGGCAGCAAAUCGAUUUUUUUUUUCCUGCAGGGCUACAGCGUUGUGUGCUGUUCUCUCUCCUGCCUCGCGCACUGAGCUGGAGUCCUCGAGCAGCUUUUUUUUCGCCUCUGCGACUCUUUCCCCGCUUUCCGCGCGUGUUGCGGCUGCCAGCGCCGUGUCAGACAUCCUCCCACCGUCGUGUGCGCGUGUGCCUGCACACGUCCCUCUGCCUUGUGUACAGUCCCCUCCUUUUUUUUUUCUGCGUUCUAUCGCUGCGCGUUGUGCCGUUGGUGCUGGUCGUAUUCGGGUUUCUUUUUUUUUCCACCCUUAUCUCUCACCCACGGCUGCUGCCGGACGUGCGCCAUACAGGUUGCGAGGUGCCGUGGAACGACGGUACCGUUUUUUUUUUUGGCAACACGGAAGGCAGCGACGCCUGAGAAGCUGAACCAUGGGCCGCCGUCGAGCCCAGCAAAGCAUCUUCUUGGGUGACAGGCGGCAGGGCACUGGUGAGCGCCAUGCUCACAAGGCCCAAACAUCUUGCAUGCAAGCCGCCGGCUCGACGCGAGGGCCGGUGGCAAAUUCCGUUUACGCACCUUCAGGCGCCACUGUGCAAUCUGUGCCGCGAUCUCUGCAGGAGGUGGAUGACGAGGAAUACCUUGACAUCGAGCCGAAUGCAAAGGGCGGCACCUUCACUGACCAGUUUCUCGCCACGAUGGAGCGCACGAUACAGCAAAAACAGCGGGCAUGGGUCGGGACCGUGGUGGAGCUUCUGAUCCCCUUUCUCUUCCUCAUCGGCGCCAUUAUCCUUUGGUGCGUCUUUGGCGAGGAAAUGCACCCAGAAAAGCAAGUGCUGAACUACACCGCCGUCUCAUCCCUCACGAUCCCGGGUUUUUACAGGGAAGUGGCGUGCAACAACGUGUCCAUGGGCAUCAUCCCUGGUAUCGAGGACUGCACCACCGUCCCUUACUCGUACAACUGCAGCGGCGACGAAUCGAGCUUGCCAGUGAAGGGGCUGUGCUUCAGCGACACCCUCAGCGGCGCCAGACUAAUCGCCUUGUACCUCAACGCAAUUCUCGGGAACGCUGUCCGGGUGCCGCCGCUGGACACAAUCAUCAUGAUGCAGUGGAUUGCGCGUAAGUUUGCCAGGGACAUCACCCAAGGCGUGGGAUCGGCGGCGCUCGCAGCCACCGGAAUAAUGGACAAUACUCGCUACGGUGCCAUCAUGAAUUCCGGCAUGCUGUAUUUUGCGCCACGUGCAAGCGUUCCCGCGUCCCUCAUAGACUACCUCAACGACACCACGGACUACUUCCGGUACGUCUACGGCGGCACGUUCGACACCUUGGAGGAGGCGGAGAACCACGUAAAGACCACUCCAGGGUUUCACUGGGCCAUUGUCGAGGUGAAUGCCUUUAACUCGACAGACUUCGACGUAGUGCUGCACAUGAACCCGACUUCGCUGCCGCCCCUGACGAAGGUGGUGGACGCGCAGUACCCCGGCGGCUACCAUUUUGAUCGGUCUGAGAUGUACACUGCCUCCGGCUUCAACAGCCUCCAGGAGGCUUUGUACCAGUGCUACCUGCAUGACCUCGGCUACACCGAUGGCGAGCUUAUUCACCCCUACUCGACCUCGCUCGGCUACCGUAGUUACAAGGAGAAGAAGCUGCUGAAGACGGCCUCGGUGCUCGUUGCCUUCCUUCUCGUCCUCUCCUUUCUGCACCCGGUGUCGCAGCUGACAAAGAAGAUUGUGCUGGAGAAGGAGCUGCGGAUUCGCGAGGCGAUGCUCAUUAUGGGACUUAGCAGCACAUCACUUCACCUCUCUUGGCUCGUUACCUACGCCCUGCAGUACUUUUCGGUGUGCAUCGGCAUGACCGUCUUGAUGAAGCUCACGUUCGCGCCGAGCAGCGAUGCGUUCGUGCUCCUCAUGACCUUGUACCUCUUCGCCAUGAGCACGAUCCCCCUCUCAGGCCUCAUUGCCGCCCUCUUCAGUAAGGCUCGCCUCGCCUCGAUGCUUGCGCCACUCAUAUACUUUGUGCUGUCGGUGCCGACGUUCGCCUCCUCGAGCAUAUCAGCCAACGUAAUCAUCGGCAUGUUUCUCCUCUCGCCCACGGCGUUUGCAGCUGCUCUGACCAACAUUCUCACGCUGGAGGUUGCCACUGGCUUUGGCCCUAAUCACUUCAAAAGCGCCGCACUGACACCGGAGAGCUCUAUGUUGUACGCCUUCCUCGCUGCAGAUUUCGUCCUGUACUACGUCUUGAUGCUUUACUUGGACGCUGUGCUGCCGAAGCAGUGGGGUACGCGCAAGCACCCGCUCUUCUUCAUCAUUGACCCCGUCAUGCGGUGCUUCAACUCGAAGCAGAAGCGCCUCGAGGGCGGCGCCGACGGGCGCGCCGAGAACGGCGUGUUCGAGGACGUCGACGGCGACGACGACGCGGUGAUUUUGGACGGCCUGCGCAAGGAGUACUCGCGCGGCGGCAAGAGGUUCGUUGCGGUGAACAACCUGUACUGGGGGAUGCGCGAGGGCGAGAUCUCUGUGCUGCUGGGGCACAACGGCGCCGGCAAGACGACGGUGCUGAACAUGAUGACGGGGAUGGUCGAGCCGGACGCGGGCGACUGUUACAUCAACGGCAGCUCUGUUCGUAACGAGCUGAACCAGGUGCGCCGUCAGAUCGGAUACUGCCCGCAGCACAACAUCCUGUGGGGCGAGCUGACAUGCCGCGAGCACCUAGAGUACUACGGGAAGAUCAAAGGCUUAUUCGGCGGCGUGCUGGAAGAUGUCGUGCGGAGGAUCCUAAAUGAGGUGGACCUGCUGGACAAAAUGGAGUACCCUUCCCGUGCGCUCUCUGGGGGGCAGAAGCGCAAGCUCUCGGUUGCAAUUGCGUUUGUCGGCCGCAGCCCUCUCGUCUUCCUGGACGAGCCCACGGCCGGCAUGGAUGUGGGUGCGCGCCGAUACACGUGGGAGCUGCUGCGGCGCAUGUCAGAGGCACACACCAUCAUGCUCACGACGCACUACAUGGACGAGGCAGAUCUGCUGGGGCACAAGAUCGGGAUCAUGAGCCGAGGCCGUAUGCAGUGCUCUGGCAGCAGCAUGUUUCUGAAGAGCCGCCUAGGCGUCGGCUACAACAUCGUCAUCUCCGUCGACCCCGAGGUGGACGCCGAGGCGAUCGACCGUCUCGUCGUUUCUCUUGUUCCGGGCGCUGAGGCGUCGUGCUUCAACGGCUGCGAGAUUGUGUACAAACUGCCCAUGCGCGAUCUCGAGCUGUUUCCGUCGCUGCUAGAGAGUCUCGAAGAGAAUGGCAAAGACGCCGGCGUGCGUGGCUACUCGCUGUCAGCGACGACAUUGGAGGAGGUGUUUCUCCAGAUCGUCAUGGAUGAAAUGAAAAACCACAAGGCGAGCACCGCCGUCGAGGAGAACGAGGAGGUCGUCGAGGAAGAGAACAACGCCGUGUGGAAUUGCGAGAUGAUGACGGGCACGCGUCAGCGGCUGGUGUCGCAGUUCAAGGCCAUGAUGGUAAAGAGGCUGCAGAACGCGCUGCGAGACCGCAAGAUGCAGUGCUUCCAGGUGGUCUGCCCCGUGGUAUGCGUCAUGGUGGCCAUGCUGCUCACCCUCUUCAGCUUUACGGAGGCCGGCUCCCUGAGCCUCACCAGUGAAAUGUUCGGCGAGACGGUGCAGAUGCAGGUUUCAGGCUGCGAGAAGUACUUCGGCGCCACAAACAACGUUACCCGCCAAGGCUCCUACAUCACCGACCUCAAUUUCGCCAACGGGCAAGACUUGUCCUUCUACGCCACCGACACCGCAAAGCAGCUGACGAUGCCGCGCUACACCUCGCUCUUCUGCGGCGACCCGGGGCUGCAGCACGUCGUCCCUUUCGAGUUCGACGCCACCUUCCUGUUCUACAACACCUCCGCUUACCACGCCGGUGGUCUGGUGCUCCAACAGCUUUACACAUACAUUCUUCAGUCCUUCACAAAUAACGUCCACCGCACCUUCAAGACUGGCGCCAAGCCCAUGCCAACCACCAUGCGCGACUCCAGUGUGAAAGACGGUGUGCAGACGAUUCUCAUGGGCGCGAUUAUCAUGAUCCCGUUCACGUUCCUGCCGUCGAACGUGGUGGCGUGGGUGGUGAAGGAGCGGGAGUGCAAGGCGCGACAUCUGCAGAACGUCUCGGGGCUGAGCUUUUACAUCUACUGGCUCACGAAUUUUCUCUUCGACAUGGUCGCCUACGUGAUGACGCUCAGUUUGGUGCUGCUCAUCUUCCUCAUGUUCAGCCGCGAUGAGUACGUUGGCAAAAACACGGCCGGCCCGGCCAUUGUGGUGUUUCUCAUUUACGGCCUCUGUAGCACCGUCAGCGCCUACGUGGUCAGUUUUGGCUUCCACGAGCACUCAGCAGCACAGUCAGCGACGAUGGCCGUCAACUUCGUCGCCGGCUUCCUGCUUGUUAUGAUGGUGUUUAUCUUCUCGCUGGUGGACUCCACAGCGAAGAUAUCGCGGAACCUUCGCUGGCCGUUCCGGCUGGUUCCGUCGUACUGCGUGGGCGAGUCUAUCAUCAACCUCGCCAUGGACCGACAGCAGGCGGCCCUGAACCUCCCGUCGAACCCGUGGGCGAUGGAGGUGGUUGGCUGGCCGUGCGUCUUCAUGGCGAUCGAGUUUCCCAUCUUUCUCCUGGCGACUCUCUUCAUUGAUCACCCGCGGCGGCGCAUGUGGGGGCAGACGGGUAGCUAUGACCGCUGUGCCCCGGCCGAGGUGGUCGACGACGAGGACUCCGACGUGGAGGAUGAACGGGAGGAGGUCUAUCAACAGGAGAAAAAGAACGUCAACAUGGACGUUGUGCGCGUGGUGGACCUCCGCAAGGUGUACCCUAACGGCAAGGUGGCGGUGCGCAACCUCGCCUUCAGCAUCCUGCCUGACGAGGUGUUCGGCUUCCUCGGCACGAACGGUGCUGGGAAGACGACGACGAUUUCGAUGCUGUGCCAAGAAUUCAUUCCGACAAGCGGCAACGCCUAUGUGUGCGGGUACGACAUCGUGACGGAGAGCGAGCAGGCGCUGCAGUGCAUCGGGUACUGCCCGCAGUUCGACGCGACGCUGGACCUGCUCACUGUGGAGGAGCACCUGCACCUCUACGCUGGCAUCCGCGGCAUCCUCUACGAGCAGCGCAGCAAGGUGGUGGCUGGGCUGAUGCGCUUGUGCGAUAUUACCGAAUUCCGCGACACAAUGUCUGCGCAGCUGUCCGGUGGCAACCGGCGCAAGCUGUCUGUGGCGCUUUCUCUCAUCGGUUCGCCUCAGGUCGUCUUCCUGGACGAGCCGUCGGCCGGCAUGGACCCUGUGGCCCGGCGCGGGCUGUGGACGGCGAUCCAGAAGGUUUCGCAGAACUGCUCCGUUGUGCUGACGACGCACCACCUGGAGGAGGUGGAGGCGCUCGCGGACACGGUGGGCAUCAUGGCUGACGGAGCCCUGCGGUGCAUCGGCGACAAGAUUCACCUAAAGCAAAAGUACGGAAGUGGAUUCGAGCUGAGUGUUCGCGUUGCGCAGAGAGAUGUGCGGGCAGCUGUGCAGCGUUUUGUCGGGGAGAACUUUCCCGCAGCCGUGCUGAACGAGUUCAAGGGGAAACGUCUUGUCUUCGCGCUGCCGCAAGACACGAAGCUCUCAGAGGCGUUUUGGCAGCUGCAACAGAACAAGAGGCGGCUGCACAUCACAGACUACACCGUAUCGCAGACCUCCAUCGAGCAAGUCUUCUUGCGCAUUAGCGAGCAGCAAGAGGAGCGCGAUGAGCUCGGGAAAAAGAAGGUGACGCACUUUGUGAAGAGCCACGCCACUCCGCACGCCUACAACGGCGUCGCAACAAAGAAGAAGCGCCGCCAGGAACCAGCUGAGAAGACGGUGCUGGUCAGCUCAGCCGCCAUGGAGGCCUAUCGACGCCGGAAGCUGAUGGCUGGCAUUGUGGACGAGGUUGCCCGAUCCGAAAAGAACGACCGCAUCGGCAGACACGGGGAGGAGGAAAGCGACGAAGUCGACAACGCCGUGAGGAACUUCAACACUGCCGGCUCGCAGUGCGCCCCGGCGCGCCGGGGCAGCGUUAGCAAUGUCCACGGCGCCUCCUCCGGGCGCAAGCGUUGCGCGGUGAACUUUGUGGCCGCCGCCGGGGAGGACCCGAGUGCGGGCCACGCAACGCCAUAUAGCAACACGUACGGGCCAAGCUCUGAGGGACAGGCCUACGGCCACGGCUACGACUAUGAUUCUUCGAGCGGGUACGGGUACCCGAACCAGUAUAACGGCAACGGCGAAAGUUUCCGCUAUGACUACGGGUAUAAUUUGCACACUGGCGGUGCGGCAGGGCACCAGCAGCCACAAAAUGCGUAUAACAGCUACUGCGGCGGAGGAAAAACGAAAUAUAGCUGAGUGCGUGGCGUACCUGCAAGUCGUUGAGUGGAGACACCGCGUGGCUCAUCAGCGCAUCAGCAGUUCCAUGCCUUUUCUCCCCUCUUUGAGAUGUCUUGUUGCACAGGAACACUCCCUGUGGCACCAUUGUACUGUACAUGUGCCGGUACUGACGAAGGCUAAUCAAGAAAAGGAAAGGAAAGGUGUAACGGACUGGGACGGCGAGGGGAUGUUUUUUUUUUGCAGGUUGUGGGGGUGGUGGCGGCCACCAUCCCUUCCUCUCUACUCUCACGCACGAUUUCACAGAAGCGAUGCGCUUUCUUGCCCCCCCCCCCCCUGCUUCAACCAGCCGUGCAACUAAACCGCCGUCUGGAUCCCUUAUGUGCAUCGAUUUGUGGUUUUUCAUGUGUUUACGUGUAUUUAUCUUUAUGUGUGCGCGCAUGUAAUUUAUUUACGCGUGCAUGAACGUGUGCUUAUGUGUAUGGAUAUAUAUAUAUAUAUGAGGGCCUCUCCGUUCUAUUCGCAUAUUCUUUUUUGUGGGCGUGCAUCUAGUUUUGCGUCACCACUGCGGUGGCUCUGUUUCUUGCGAGGGCGUCUUUGCUAUGUGUGCCUAUGGCUGUGUGUAUCGGCAUACCCACUGUAUGCGGGUGCGUAGCUGGCCGCCGGUCUCCGUGCUUUUUUUCCUUUUCUCUUUGCUCUCCCUUUCCAUGUGCUUGUAAGUGUAGUUGGGGAUGAGAAUGAUGACAUCAGGUGACGUGAAGUUUUACCUCCUCGUUUGUCCACUUCACUGUGCCGUCGUUCUCUCUUGUUCUCUACUUUUUCUUUUCGUCGUCGACCUCCGUGCGCUAUCCCCUUCCCUGCUCCAUUCGUUAAACUCUUCUACCAGCGCUCUGCGCACGCUCACGGAAAGAGCGAGCCAGGGGCUUUUGGUGAUGCUAGGGAGACACUGAUAGAGUUGACUCGAGUGGCACUUGCCAUUUUCUUUUUCUUCUUCGCGGACCCGUUAGUUGUCUGUAAAGCAGAGCAGCUGGCACACUUCCCUCUUCGGUGCUGUUUCUCCCUUUAGAGCUCGAUGGCUCUUCUUUGUGCCUCAUGCGUCACUCGGUGACGCCAAGGGACUCCUUUCCUUCCACAUGCUGUUAAUGCGAGCGUGUGGCACUGUGGGUUUCACCCUCCUCUUCUGUGCUUGACAUUGCCUUUGAAAAUGAUGUGCUUUUUUUUUCGUUCUCUGGAAUCAGCGUAGUUGAGUUACUGCUCUCCUUGAUGUCAGUCUUUCCAGGGUGCCCCCUGCCAUCACCAACCCAGUACAUAUCAUCCACCACCGUCGACCUCUCUUCGUAGCACGGCGCUUUCUCUGCGCUGUGGCUGCAUCGCCUGGUUGCUAUUGUCUUGUCUCCCGGUAGAGGUUUCCUUUUUGCCCUCUCUCGUUUAUUAUUACUAUUCUCUCUUCGCGCACGUCGUGGAUGCUGUAUGUUUGUGUUUCUCCUCUUCUACCCUCCAUCAGGCUCACCACGACAUGGCAGGCGUACAGUAAGCGGCGAAGUUGAUGCGUACACAUGCCAUCGUAGGCGUAAAAGAAACAAAGAAAUGCAAACUGCCACCACUAGAAACAGCAGUGAUGUCCUCGGCAGUGCGCUCUUCCGUGAUAGAGGCGUGCAGGCAGCCUCAGUUUUGGUGUGCGCGUGCCUCGAUUUGGCUUUUCUUGGUUGACUCGCAUGUGCUCUUCUUACUUUUUUAUUCGCUGCAUUAGCGACGUGACGUUUGUGUUCUCUCUCCGCUUCGCUGCGGGAAGCACCUCACUCGCGCCCCCACCAGUCUGUAUUUCAACUCAUCUCUCUUUCUUUUGUCACUUGUGUCUUGGUAGGAGAUGGUUUAAGCCAACGCCGCCGAACGAUAUGCAGGCAGCGAAGUCGAUUCGUCUUCGCACUUCGGUGUAUGGGCGUGUGUGCGUGCGCAUGCUCAGGUGGCUUCUUGAGAACGUGUCUCACUGAUGACGAUCCU